CCUACGGGAGGCAGCAGUAGGGAAUAUUGCCCAAUGAGCGAAAGCUUAAGGCAGCAACGCCGCGUGUGCGAAGAAGGCCUUCGGGUCGUAAAGCACUUUUCUGGGAGAUGAGAAAGGACAGUAUCCCAGGAAUAAGUCUCGGCUAACUACGUGCCAGCAGCCGCGGUAAU
rnacentral:rRNA from 1 species